rnacentral:tRNA from 1 species
CGGCGGUCAGCGGGGGCUGGAUGCCGCUGACCGGUUCGGAUCCGGCCGUGGUCCGCGCGGUGUUCGACACCAACGUCGUC